AGAAUCAACGCUGGCGGCGUGCCUAACACAUGCAAGUCGAACGAGAAAGUGGAGCAAUCCAUGAGUAAAGUGGCGACCGGGUGAGUAACACGUGACUAACCUACCUUCGAGUGGGGGAUAACCCCGGGAAACCGGGGCUAAUACCGCAUAACAUCACAAGAUCAAAGCAGCAAUGCGCUGGAAGAGGGGGUCGCGGCUGAUUAGCUAGUUGGCGGGUAACGCCCACAAGGCGAAGAUCGGUA
rnacentral:rRNA from 1 species